rnacentral:misc_RNA from 1 species
AUGGGAGAGCUUGGGUUUUUCUCGAACGCGUUUUUCGGUUUUAUCCUCGUCUACCUGACAUUGUUUCACAUCAAACGGCAAUUCGGCUCCUACAAGUACUUGUUAGUCAACUUUCAACUUGUGGGGUUCUGUUUCGCAUCCUGUGAAUACUUGUUUCACACGUUCCUCCACCUCUACAAUGCCAGUCUCAUCUACUUCAGUCUCUCGCACCCACUCGGUUUUUCCAAUUUGACAAUGGAAUGGAUGAUGGCAGUUUACACGGGACUGUAUUCCUCGACAAUAUGUCUCCUGGCAAUUCAAUCCAUUUACCGUUACUGGGCCUUGUUUGAUACUCCAAAGUUGGAGUACUUUAAUGGAAUCUACUAUUUCAUUUGGGUUGGCUAUUACACAUUCUUCGGAAUCCUCUGGUCUCUAACAGUCGGUUACUUCUUCGCGAUGGAUGAGUUUAGCAUGGAGUAUCUAAGCAAAGAGAUUUCAUUGCGUACACGAUUAUCAUUGUUUGCGGCUAUAAUAUGUAUCAUGGGAUGCAAACAAAACUCUCCCUGCUUUCUGCACAACACCGUCGUCUUCAUCGGCAAUUCUUCAGAGCUCUAACAAUUCAGGUCGUCUCCCCCACAAUAAUCCUCUUCUGCCCAGUGUUCUUCAUGAUCUAUGUUCCAUUCGCUGAUUUGGAAAUGAGCUUCCCGUCCUGCAUCAUUCAAAGUGGCUUCACAGUGUAUCCAGCCCUCGAUUCAGUUAUCAUGAUGUGCUGUGUAUCGGAAUACUUUCGAAUCUUCAAAAAACUAUUUGUUUCGAUGAAACAGCCCAAAUCAUCCCAAGAUGACAGUGAAAAGAAAAGAAUUCAAAUGGUCAAUCCGAAAAUUUGAAU